ensembl:lncRNA
ACAUUUUAAAUUAUAGCUUUUUUUUUUGUUUGUUUUUGUUUUUGGUCUUUUAUUUUAUUUUCUUUUUUAUUUUUGUUUAUAUAUAUAUAUAUAUAUUUCUCUUUAACGUUACAAUACACGCGUGUUCAGCACCUUUUUUAUACUUGCACAUAUAGACAUGUAACUAAGCUAAAUAAAUUACAAAUAAAAAUAUUUACUUACAUUAUUAAUUAUUAAAGUUAAAUAGUUGCAAAUCGCACAUUCUUUUUUGUUUUUUUUUUUUUUUAAUGCAUAACGACGUUAUUACAUAGCUGCAUAGUUACAUAGUAUUAUUACAUUUAUCAACUUGUUACAUUAUUACAGUGUUAAGACAUUACAAUAACACAUGAUUACGACUUUUAAUCAUUAUAUUGUUACUUUAUUAAGAUGAUGUAAAUAAGCCUAACAUAUUGUUUUGUUUUUUUAACUAUUCUGUAUUUGUCAUUUUUUGCAAUUUCUUCACUUAAAUGUUAAAUAUUUUGAUAAAAUAACAUAGAGAGUUUAGCAACGAAUUGUGUUAUUUAUUUAAAAAUAAUAAUAAAAAAAAAAAAAAAAAUAGUGAAUAUAAUAUAAAUAUAUAUAUAUAUAUAUAUCCUUUAAAAACAAUGGAGAAAACUAAAAAGUUAGUUGAACUUGUUAAGAAUGUUCAAAUAUUCGUUCAGAAAUGCAGAGAUAAUAAUAAGAAACUACUAGAGAUACAUGACUUAAAUGAAACUGAAACAUUAUUCCAUUCAAAACGUAUGAAAGAUGAUAAACUAAAUGGUAGUAAAAUUUACAAAGACAACAUAAAUGAAUUUAUGUCCAAAGAUUCCUGUGAAAUAAAAAGUGAUUAUAUAUACAAAAGUUUUAGUAAAUUAGACAGCACUGAAUAUGGAAAAGCCUAUACGAAUGAUAAUUUUCAUACUUUAUCUGAUUAUUUUGAUAAACGGAAUAAUAAAAAAUUUAAUGAGUUAAAAUAUCAAGAGAUUGAAGAUGGAAAUGAUUAUGGUACUGAGAGUUUUGAUAUGCAUUAUCAAAUGCUAGAUAAUAAAAACAGCGUUAACACUGAUGUACAAUGUUUUAGAGAAAUGUCAAAAGAACAAAAAAAAAUAAAACAUGUAAAAAAUGAACUUAUGUUAUACGAUUUACACUUGACUACUUUAUAUAAAAAAUUGGAAAGCAGUCCAAGUAAAAUUAAAAAGACAUCUAAAAAAAAGAUAAAGAGUAAGAAAAAAGAGAGAUUGGCAAAAGCAAAAUUUAAUUCUUUAAAAUUAAGUAGUUCAAAAUCUUGUAAAACAUCAGGUGGACCUCACUUAAAAAGGAAAACUCUUAAAAAAGGUAAAAAUAUGAAAUUAAAAAAGAAUGAUAAAGAAAAAGACAAAGAAGGAAAGAGCAGUUUAUUGAAUAAUUCUAUAACACACUCAAAAAGUUCUUUAUUAACACGUAGUGAAACCAUUUCAAAAUAUUAUCAGAUGUGUUCAUCAAUAAAUGCAUCUGAUAUGAGCAUGUUCCAAUCAAAAUUUCCUAAGAGAUUAGUUAAAAAAAGUGAUACACAUCCCUAUAAUAUUGGGUGUAUGUAUAUGAAUAGUAAUUUAGGAACGAAUUCAAAUGAUUUAUUAGAAAAAGAGCCAAUCGAUAAUGAAUUGUUGAAUAGUUCCCAAAGUAUUGUACAUUUAAAAGAUUUAAAUGAUAAUAUUAAUGACAUUGAUUAUUAUAAAAAGCUAAUUGACAAUUUAGAAGGAAAUAUUGCAAAUGUAAAAAAAAAAAAAAGUAUAGCUUCCAUGGAUAAUAUCUUACAAAUCAUAAAUUAUUUGUUGCAUCAUUAUAUACCAAAAAUAGUUGAUAUAUAUGAAUAUUACAUGAAUAGUUUAGAUGAAAAAAAUAAAAUAUUGAAACAAAAAAUUAAGGAAUCUUUAGAUUUUGGAGAUGUCCAAUAUGAAGAAAUUAGAGAAAUGAAGGCUCAAAUAAUCCAAAAAAACAAUGAGAUUAAAAAAUUACAUGACACGAUUACAAUAUUAAGAGAUAAAUUAUCAUUUACAAAUGAACUUGAGUUAAAGAAUUUCGAAUAUUUAGAUGAAAUUGUACUUUUAAGAAAUAGAGUAGAAUAUUUGGAAAAACUUUUAGAGGAAAACAAUAAAACUAAAGAAUCACGUGAACUUAGAAUUGUCCGUCGUAAUAUGUAUAAUUCACUUGUUAAAAUGAAAGGAGAAAUGAAAUUUAUAAGUGCAUUGAAACGGAAGUAUAUAAAAAGAUAUAAAAAAAGAAGAUUUAAUAUAACUAAAUGGCUAGAUUUAAAAAGUAAAAUGGAAUCAAGAGAAACAUUUAGGAUGGAAGAUAAUAUGUAUGAUAAUGUUUAUUUAAAAAGUGAACUUAACAUAGCAUAUAAUAGUCUAUAUGCAACGAAUGAAUCAUCAAACGAGGAUAUAAAAAUAGUUAAGGAAUAUGUAGACAAAUGUGUUGAUACUAGUGAUAUGAAUAUUACGAACGACGGUGAGUCACACAAUGACAUAAAGAAAGAAAAUGAUGUAGAUUUAAAAAAAAAAGAAAAAAAAAAAGCUGAGACAAAAAAUAAAAAAAUUAAUACUGUAUUAAGCAAUCAUACAUUUAUGGAAUUAUUAGAAAAAGACAGAACAAAAAGUGUUGGAAAAGAAAAGGUGUGUAGUUUAAUACCUAAGGAAAGUUAUCCUUAUUAUCAUCACUUUUAUAGUAAUGUAAUAAAUAAACCUAAAGACGAGAAUUAUAGAGAUUUUACAAAUAUUAUUUCAUUAAAUAUUAAUGAACAGCUUAAGUACGUUGAUAAUAUCAAAAAUAAGGAUGAUAUUUAUAUAACAUUAGAUAGUAAUUUUAAUGAUUGUUUUGAUAAAGAGCGUUUUUAUAAAUGUAAAGAUGAAAUGUGUUGUGACAUUGAAACUAAUCAUGACGCUAUUAUUAAUAGUGGUGAUAACAGUUUGAGUUAUAAUAAUAAUAAUAAUAAUUAUAAGAUGAGUAAUUGUUGUUUGCCUCAAGAAGGGUUAGCAGUUCGAAAACCUUAUGACUGUUAUAUAAACAAGCCUAACAAUACAUUUUAUAAUAAGCACUUUGGUUGUUGCUAUAAAACUAAAGGAACAUCAGAUGAAUCUAUUAAUCAUUCUUCUUGUUUUACGUCGAAAAUAUUAUGUUGUGACAAAGGUAAUAUACCUGAUGUAAUCCAAAAUGAAUCGAAUAUUUUAAACGAUAAUUCAUUGAUAAAUAAAAAGGUAAAAAAUAUUAGAAAAAACAGUUUUUCAUAUUCCUGUAACAAUAAUAAGGAUGGUUUUGAAAAUAAAUGUAAAUACUUUGAAAAUAGUGGAAGAUUAGAAAAACCAAAUGUAAAUGAUGACAUUCUAAUAAAUAGAAAUGCAGAGUUAGAUAGAAUAAAAAAUUUUUUACAUGCAUACAAUAGCUAUAUUGUUGGAGACAAGAGUAACAAUAUUAACAAUAAACUGGAUAUUCCAGGAAUUCGAAUAAAUACGAACAAAGAUGCUCUUGAUAAAAGCGCUUGUGUAUUAGGAUCGGUAUAUAAAAAGACAGAAAAACAAGAUAAUAAUAAUAAUUAUAAUGAUAAUAAGAAUGGUGAUGCUGGUGAUGGACAGAAAAAUACUUGUUUGGGUGCAAACAUAACGUCACUAAAUUCGGACAUAAAUACAUUAAAUGAACAAAACGAAUACAUGUACCACCACACUAACAAUUAUUACAAUAACUGUAGUAGUAUGAAUCCUUAUUACAACAGAGUACACAAUAUCAACAAUGUAAAUCACAAUAUGAAUGUUCAAAAUAAAUUAAUAAUUCAUACAAACAAUUUAAAAAAUGUAAAAGAUAAAAGUAAGGGAUUUCCUCUUAUAUCUAACUUAAAAACAAUUAAUUCAGAAAAGAUUACACCAAAUGUUAGUAGUAAUAAUAACGCAUAUACAAAUUAUAUUUAUGAACCAAAGCAUAAUAUUGAAAACUCAAAUUUCGAGAAAACAGAAGAUAUAUCUUUUAAUAAAUGUAAUAAAUAUAACUCAUAUUUUAUACGUGAUGGAACUUUGAAAUAUGUUAAUCCGUAUAAUCAGGUUUUAGAUAUAAACUUAAAAAAUUUUAAUGAAAUUAAUGGUUAUCUACGUGAUCAUUACUUGUAUACAGAAGACAAAUGUUAACAAAAAAAAAAAAAAAAAACACAUGCACACACACACAACCUAGUAUAAAUUAAUAUGGCUACUUAUAGUAUAUUGUAACAUAAUAUAUCAUAACAUGGAAAACCAUAGCAUAAUGAGGAAAACUUAUAAAUAUAUAUAUAAAGAAAAAUUUUGUAUGUAUUAUUGAAUUUAUGUGCUCUUAUUUCAUUUAUGUUUUUAGAUUGUUACAAAUUUAAACUAAUCGCUUUAGUAUAAUAUGUGUUAGAAUCAAUUUUAUUAUUUUUAACAUCUAAAUACUGUUUUUGAAGAGUUAUAAACUUUUUUUUUCUAUGUUUGCAAAUGUGCAUGUUUGUUUGUUUCAUCGUGUGUCACUUUAUGAAACCUCAUAAAAUGCAAAAUAUGCAUUUGGUUUGUAAAUGUAUAUCAUAAUUAUGUAUAUAUACACAUGCAUGCAUACACAUAUACAUUGACAUGUAUAUGAGCUUUUUUCACUAUUAUAUAUUUUAACAGUUAUCCGUAUACUGAGUUAGUACAUAUAUAUAUAUAUAUAUAUAUAUAUAUAUACACAAACAGGGUAUCUUAUGGUCGCUGUUUUUUUUUGAUUAGUUUUAUGCAUGAUACCUUUUUUUUUUAUUAAAUAUAUAUAUUUCUUAAGUGUGCACGUGUAUACAUACUGCAAGUAUAUAUGUAUUUUCACAGGAUAUGUUUCUUUUAAUACUGUUUAAGGGUAUACACCGAUUUUAUUUAUAUAGAACGAAAUACUGAUGGAAAUGUUUUUUUUUAUAUCAUUUCGAGCAAUUCUGUGGUAGGAGUAUCAUAGUUGUAUAUAAAACAUUUAUAUACGUAUAUUUGUAUAUACAUAUAUAUGUGUUUUCUAUUAUUCCUUUUUCACUUUUUUUUUUUUUUUUUUUUUACAUGUGUUUAUAUUUUUGUGUGAUACUUUUACAGUGAUUGUGUUUUAUUUUAUUUUAUUUUUUUUAUAUCUCAUAAAAUAUUUAGCCACAAAUGUUAUAUGUGAAUAUGUCAAUAUAUUUGUGUAUUCAUUGUGUAUUACGAAAUGAGAAUAAAUAAUAAGUAUUUACCUCA